GUUAUUUUGCAAUUUACUCUUCAGCCUUUUCCCGACCAAACCCAAAGUCCCUAUCUUCCUCCUUCCUCUCUGACCGACACUCCGCUCUCUUCCUCCUUCCUCUCCGACAGGCCGGCGCCGCCGGCGCCGCUCCCCUCCGCACAGCUCCACGCCGCCUAUGCCUCCUCUCCCUCCCCCUCGGUUCCUUCCCUCCCCAGCGUCGGCGCCCUCUCCCUUGCGCGCGCCACCGGCGCUCUCUUCCUCUCGCAUGUCUGGUGAAAAUGCGAUUUUCCCUCUCCGGCACUCCGGUCUGCAGCGGCCAUGCUCAAUCUGCGGCGGGGACUACCAAGACGGCGCAACGGAGCUGCUUCUGCCAGUCGCCUGCACGAAGCUGCUGCUGCCGGUCGUCAGGUGAGGAGCGCAUCUCCUGCAGCAGCGGCUACCUGGCCACGCAGCAGCGGUGGCGGGAUGGUGGCAGCAAGGGGGCGGCGAGCUCCUCUGUCCGCUCUAGGACUCCACCGCCAAGGGGGCGAGCUCCUCCGUCCGCUCUAGGACUCCACAGCGAAGGGGGCACGCCCUUGCAUCUGGGAGGUGCUCGAGCUCGUCAAAGGUGCCCCUCCCCUUCCCCCACUGGAUCCGAUUUGAUGGUGAAUUGCAGGUCCAAGUCAUUGUCUUUGAUCAAGAUUACAGAUUUAUGAUAAUUAUACUGAAUCUUGAAGUGUACUGUCAACUGAAUGUAUUGGCAGAAUUCAUAUUUAGACUGAAUGUUUACUACUCCUGUCAAUAGCAUACUGAAUAUUUAGAUAGUUUAAUCUUGAAGUAUAGACUGAAUGUUCAGACAGAGUUCUUAUUCAUGUCUAAUUGUAUUGACAGAGUUCAAUGUACUCCUGUCAAUAGAAUCAAAACUGAUUUAUUACCUUUCCAUAUGAACUUUACUGAAAAAUCAAUUAAAUUAGUCACCAUUCUGGAUUUUGACAGUACUCUACAAACUGCUUCAAAAUUAGUUCACACAAACAAGUGCAUUUUUCUAGACCUGCUUGUAAAUUAUUCCAGUUUGAAACUGAGAUAUGCCUGUACUGUCAUAAUUUCCAGUUUGUAUAAUUAGAGUAUUGAAGAUGUGUAUUUUCCAUUUAGAUAGGGGUGGUUUGCUCAACAACAAUCAGUAAGAUCUCAAUAAUACUCAUGCAACAACAAUCAGCAAGAUUGAGAUCUUCUUGCAAUCUUUGUUUACAGCAGCACAAAGAGAUUACUAGUGAAUUUUUACACACAAGCAUGAAUUUGUGUACUGUGACUAUCUACCUAGCUACUGUUCUAAAUCUCCUAUGUACUGCUUCUUCCUUCUCCAAGAUUAUGACAUGACAAGUGCUUAACAGUUCAAUUUAUCAAUAGCUCCGUCUUAGAAAUUUAAUUAGUGCAUUUGUAAAAUGGCAAAGAUUAUGACAUGACAAAUGCCUAACAUGUUCAGUAAACUACAGUGAACAUCUUUCUCCAAGUAAUUCAACUACAGAUAGAUUAGAGAUGGAUUAUUGAUGGAAUAUAAUUCAACUACAAAUAGUCUUGUACUCCAGAUGUACUAUUGGGUAGAGUACAUGUAAGGAGACAGAACUUCCGGAUGUACAGGUUAGCAAGUUUUUCUAGAAGUGUCACAGGGGCUAGAGCUCUCGAGAAAUACUCAUGUGAUCAUUUGGACUAGGUUAGAUCAUUUGCAAGAAGAGGAGUACACUACAGUAGCUCUCCUCUUCUUGCAAGUCCUACACUAAACUACUGAAACUGCUACAAGCAACCAAAUUGACAGAAAAUCUGACAGUAACAAGAAAGCACAUGAAAAUCUGAACCAGUAUGUGUGUGCAGUUAUAAACUCACUGACAGUAACAAGUUACUCCAUGACAUCAAGUUUAGAAAUUUAGUUAGUGCAUUUCUAAAAAUGGCCAACAUUAUGGCACAAAUAAUUAAGUAAGUUAGCACAAAUUGCAAAGUAAGUUAGCACGAAUUCAAUUUUAAUCCAAAUUACUCAAAUUAAUCCAAAUAUUUUAAAUUAAUUCAAAUAACUAAAAUUAAUCCAAAUCAAUUCAAAUAAUUCAAAUUCCAAAUAACCCAAAUUUCAAUAAAUUCCAACAAGGAGUUUAUAUACAAGGAUUAGACAAGGCAUACACAAGGGCAUGACAUAAGGGCAUCUUUGUCCCCUCUUGACACAAGAUUACACAAGACAUACACAAGGAGCACCUGACUACAUGACAUACGGGCCUCUUUGUCCCCUCUUGACUACAUUCUUUUCCUUUCUCUGGCCACUUCUUCCCUUCCCUUCCCUUUACUUUUCAUUAUUUUCCCUUCUUGUUGCUACUUCUUCCCUUCCUUUUACUUUUCUUUCUUUUCCCUUCUCUAGCUAAUUCUUUGCUUUCAUUUUUUUUCCUAUUGCAAUUUUCAUUUCUUCUAUAAUGGCCCUAAUAUCAACAACUACCUGACUGUCACAAUAUACACUGAUUAUUUCCAUUCCAGCAUUCUGAUAGCGAUCCUUGUGCAAGUGGGGCAACUUAUAUUGAUUUCCUCCUUUGUCUUUCAUAACUUCAAACAUAACUGCUUCUAAUGUGAUAAAGCUUCUGUGCAACUUGUCGGGAUCUUAGUUCUAGAAUUCCUCUUCCACACCAUGUACCAGUUCCUGGAUCUCUACUCCUAAUGUCUCAGUUGGUAGGUCGCGUUCCGGGUUUUAUUUUCGUUCCACCCCACCCAGUCUUUUUUGGUACUUCUUUGGUACUUCCUCCCACCUCCCUCCCAGCCGCGAAAAACCAAGAAAAACCCCGCGAUCGAGUCCCGCACCCGCCCAACCUCCCGUCCUGGAAGAAAACCUACGAAAAAAACCUACGAAAAAAAACCAGAACUCGCACGCACCGACGCACGAGCGAGACUGCCCUCUCGAUCCCCUCGACCUACGAUCUGUGACUGCAGACGCACCAGAUCGCCGCCGCGGACCUCGCAGGGAAGACGCGGACGAGAUCCCAAGCUGCUGCUCCUCCUCUCCCGGGAUGCAGCCGCUGCCGCCGAACCAAGGAGACGCCGGCGACCGUCGCCGCCGUCGUGGAUCUCCAGGACGCCGCCGCCUGCACCGCCACCACCGCGCCUCGGAUACAUCGCUGCGAGGCAGAUCCCUGGGAGCGGGAGGAGGUAGGGGUCAGCCGCGUCGACAGCGGCGAGGUGGAGCCCUGGGGCUGGGAGUGGGUAUGGGAGGAGGUGGGGGGCAGCUGCGAGCGCAACGGGGUGAGGGGCGUCGAUGAGAUGCUCCUGGUGCCUCCCUUCGAGUGGGAGGGGGAGAGGGGCGUCAGCGGCGAGCCGGACGGGGCGAGGGGCGUCGAUGAGAUGCCCCCGGCGCUUCCCUCCGGGCGGGAGGAGGAGAGGGGCGUCGACGACGAGGCGGGUGUCGGCGGCGAGAUGGGUGUCGGCGGCGAUGAGGAUUGCAUUGUUGUGCCGCUGCCACUUCCUACAGACUCCCUGACUCACAGUGCAAGACAUCCCAACUCGGGUCCAUCCGGGUAAACACCGCCGCCGCCCUUGGCAGGAUCCCUUUUGGCGGCUUCGAUCUAGGAAAAAGAGGAGCGGAAGGAGAGAAGUACUGGUCUAUGACUCGGGUCAUGGGGAUGGAUGGAUCUCUCGGUAAUGGUGGAUCCAGAGUUCCAGACUCAGUUCAUCUUAUAGGCUUAAUUCAUACUGUAUCAUUUUGAUGAAUACGUUGCUCCCCUAUUUUUUCUACAAUCAAGAUGAUUUUCCUCUGUGGGGUAUGCAUAUCAUCUUCUUUCGUUUUCGUUAGAACAUAUCAUAUUUUGUUUGACAGGCAGGUACAACGAUGGCAAUAUUUGUUUUCAUCAGAAGUAUAUUUUCAUGAGAUACAAUGGCAAUCAGGCGGCACAUGCAGAAGAGUUGUGGAAGGUUGAUUGAGAAGUCAUAAGGACUGGGUGAAGCAAAAUGCAAUCUCCAAGUUUCAGGUUUCAAAAUGAGAAAUUGGAGCAUUGAGACCUUUGAACUGAAACCUAAAUAAAGAAUUGUGCAUGCAUCCAACAGAGAAAGGUGCGUACAUAUCCUGAGGGACAAUAAAAAAUGAUAUUGUGCUUACUCCCAUCUCCCGUUUGAUCACAGGCUUUCAAAGGUGGGGCAUGGGCUCAGAGGUGAGGCCACUAGCAGUUCAACUUUGCACAUACAAGAAAAUAAAAUCAAGGCACAAAUUGGGCUGACAAAUGCUGAUAGAGGAGGAGAACACCAUGCAAGUACGUAUGUGCCAAAAUUGAUAGAUUUACCUCUAGGCAUUGCAUUAUUUGCCGCAGUGUAGGUGUACUCUUUAAAUAAUUUGUAGGAGAUAGCAAAGGACGAGAUGAAGGAUCCAUUCCUUUUAGAAACAGGUGGAAAGCAUUCAGUUUAGUAAAUAUUGUAUAUGCCCUUCUCCUGAAAAGUUCGAUGUUGUUGCUUGGGAAAAAGGAAAAUGCUCACAGAUCAAAUCCUUUGGUACAAUGAUUACUUUUUAGGGAUGCAAAUUGUAAACUUCAGUCAUGCUUUAUUGGUCGUUUUUCUCCAAUAAUUAUCUUCCAUGUAGUAUAAACAUCUGGAGAUAUAAUUAGUUUUUAUUUUAUUUUGUAAUAUAAGAUAAUAUAAAUGCAUACAGUGGAGAUUGAAUUAGCUUAGGACAUCAAAGGAAGUUCCUUUUGUAACUUGAACAGUGUUCUUUCAUAUGUGUUGAUAACAGUGUGCCUCCAAUUAGUUUCUAGACAUACUUUCCAAGUCUCAUACCUGUAUUAUUCCUCUGUUUUCUCCUUUUAGUCCAAUUAUUUCUUGAGAACUAAAAUAAUCAUAUACUCUCUCCGUCCAGAAUUACUUGACGCUGAAAUGCACGUCUAGAUACAUCCAUUACAGUGUCAAGUAACUCUGGACGGUCGUUUCUCUUGAUUUUUGAACCAAGUGUUAUCUUGUUUUCUCGAUAGGCAAGAAAGGUCCAACUGGCAAAAGCAUACGAGGAUGUUUCUGCACUUCUCUUCCUCUAUUGAGUUUAUAAUGCAUAUGAAAAAAAUGUAUACAUGUUUCUGUUCUGGCACCUACAUUAUUUAUUUAUGCUCCUUCGACUCCUUUUGAAUGUCUUAUACUCUCUGCAAUCACCAAACUGGAAGACAUGCGCUUUUUAGGACAUCUUCAAUGCAAGACUCUUAUACACGCGCUUAAGAGAACUAAUUUUUUUGUAAAAUACAGUAAAAAGGAACACCCAAGCGCAGAUCUGUUUCAAUGCAGACGGUACCUGAUGCUAAUAUAAUUGGUCGGCAUAGCAGCGAUCCAUCCAACACGGCUAGAGAUACCUAGGCACUUGGUGCUAUUUCUCGCGUCAAUGCACCCCUAUGCCGGGAAUCGAAGGAAAGUAAACAUAGACGCAUAUUGUGUUCAACUGAUGAUACAAGUGAGAGUUGGCCUACGCCGCCAACUGAUCUGCGGCAGCGUGGAAGGAGUGUUCAAAAGCAGCAGGAGCAGUUGUUCUACUACUGGUCGGAGGGAGAGCUCGGCAAGGGAGAUAGAGGGAGCUCUACAACCACAAUCUUGGCAUACAACCCGAUGGCAUCAUGCCCACGUAAGCUUCUUCCAUGUUCCAAUUCUUGCACAUGUUGGUCUUUUACUGUCAGAGCUUACGAAAUCUUAGAUGUUGCUGACAAAAGGCCGAGAUACAAUAUUUCAAUUGCAGACUAUAUAUUAUUCAGUAAGUACGUUCGCAAAAAAAUGUAUGGGUCAAAUCUCAAAACAAAUGGCACAUUCUGACCAUAACUAUUCCAAAAGCAUUAAUAGGCUUUUUUAAACAUCAAGCUAUCUGAAUAUUGAUCUCAGCGGUGUCCAAAAUCCAAAUGGUUAUGUUUGUUCAGAUUUUCCUCAUUUUUAUGUUAUUUGAAUUAAAGUAGGGCUUGAGGUUAAUAAUAAAUGAUUGUUGGUAACUUAACUAGCUCCUGAGAAUAAUUUGUGAUAUAGCUUGCUCAUAUAUGUGUCAUUGACAGCGUUCUAAUGUCACAACUUUUUUUUAGCAUGCACUCUUACAAGGUCAUUUCUUCUUGUUUGUUUUUGUGAGCAGAGCAACCUCCUUCUGGAUGACAAAAGAAUUAGGUCCAUAUAAUUCGUUCUUUGAGCAAAUCAACUUUGUUGGGGAUGCCAAAAGAAGUUUCAGUUUUCUUACUAAUGCGGCAAUCAGUUUUCCUUAUGUUGGUUUUGUACUAAACAUAAUCAUUUAUGAAAGACCUUGAAAGAACUCUAUACAGUAUGUCAAUCAGGAAAAUCAUGUAGCUUUUUGGGCGUUCUCUCUUAGUAUUACAACCUUAAUCCUUGUUGGGUUUGAAAGAAAUUGUGUUAAACAUGGUUAUGAGCUUAUUGGAUCUUAAACAAACUACAUUACAUGUGUAGUAAUUUUAGUAGCUAGACAUGCGUACUCUACUAUGUUAGAUUUAGGAGAAAGAGUUGUUUUAUUCAUUCAUCUGGAUUUUUUUGUCUAUAAUGCUGAUCUAUUUUUUCAUCUUUUGAUCUUCUUUACUUCAGUUGUGCUCUUGUUACAUUAACUCAGCAUGACAGAAUGUUUUGUGCUAACAUGAUUCAUGGUUGCAGGCUGCCGCGACAGAAAACUGGGAGAGAUCUAUUAACAAAAUAAAAAAGGUCCCAACCUCCUAUCGAUGCUUAUCUUAAAAACUUGGCAUGAAUUUUGUUUCUUACAUAUAUUUGUCCAUGGUUACCUUUUUCAAACAAGCUUUAGCUUCUACAAUGGGAUAAGGCCUCACAUGAGUGACUGAAAAAUCGUCCCUUUUUAAAAUUUACCUGAUAGUGUUGGGAUUUAAAUAUUUCCUCGGACUAUUGUUUGCAUGCAUAAUUUCUGUCAUGGAAUUCUGAACUAUCACUGUUCGGUACUUGAGAAUUAACAGCCUAGGAAAUUUUGGCUCUCUCCGUCAUGCAUGAGGUAUGUGCGAGGUUGAGGUUAGGUUAUUGAUGCUACUGUUUCACUGGUUUAUUACAAUAUCUUUGAUGACCUACUAAUCUUUUGUUUGAAUCAUGCUUGUAUAAAUCCUUCUUGAGGUUGCCAAAGUCAGACACCAGAAGUUGUGGCGAGGAUGUACCAAGCGCUCGCAGGUGAUGAACACCCAGGGAAUAAUGCACCUAUAUAGGAUUAGGAAUCUGUUUGUAUCAAUGAAAUUGUUGUGCAUGCUCGUAGGUAUAUGUUCUCCUAUCUUGACAAAUGAAAUGAUUGAUUAGAAAACUAUUUUUGAUCGAUGAAAUGGAUGGAUGUAUGGACAUCUUGUUA